ensembl:lncRNA
CGCUGCCCGCGAUGUCAUCUCUGCAUAUUUAUAGCGUCUCCGUGGAGAGGCUGUGCAUUAUAGAGAUGACAUUAUUUUUCUCCCGGAUGAUGGCUGUGCUGUGCUCUGUUCUGUGGUGCCAUCUCCGCCCUCACUUCUAGCCAGGCUGGCCACAUGGUCGCGGCUUCUGGGAGCCUGAGGUCUGGCUGGGGGCAGAGCUAGAGAAGCAGUGAGUCCCUUCACGGUGACGUCAGACCCUCACGACCAACGAGAAGCCUUUCGUAAAAUGAUGCUUCGUGGCGUUAAACUCCCCCUUGACCAAAGCCUUGUAUGCUGGCCUUCCCUCUCUGCCGCUUUGGAACAGACUCUCAGAGCCCUGCCUCCCGGGCUGCGGUCCUCAUUCUGCUCCAAAUACAACUUGGCUUGCAACG